ACCGAUAGCGAACACAGUACCGUGAGGGAAAGGUGAAAAGAACCCCAAGUAGGGGAGUGAAAUAGAUCCUGAAACCAAAUGCUUACAAGCAGUCAGAGCACCUUUAUGGUGUGACAGCGUACCUCUUCCAUAAUGGGUCAGUGACUUAAUCUAGCAAGCAAGCUUAAGCCGUUAGGUGUAGGCGCAGCGAAAGCGAGUCUGA
rnacentral:rRNA from 14 species